GCAGUCGUGGCCGAUUGGUUAAGUCGAUAGACUUGAAAUCUAUUGGGUGGUACCCGCGCAAGGUUCGAAUCCUGCCGACUGCG
rnacentral:tRNA from 1 species